UGAACGCUGGCUGCAUGCUUAACACAUGCAAGUCGAACGGUAACAGCAGAGCUUGCUCUGGCUGACGAGUGGCGGACGGGUGAGUAAUGCAUAGGAAUCUGCCUAGUAGUGGGGGACAACCUGGUGAAAACCAGGCUAAUACCGCAUACGACCUACGGGUGAAAGCAGGGGACCUUCGGGCCUUGCGCUAUUAGAUGAGCCUAUGUCUGAUUAGCUAGUUGGUAAGGUAAUGGCUUACCAAGGCUACGAUCAGUAGCUGGUCUGAGAGGAUGAUCAGCCACACUGGGACUGAGACACGGCCCAGACUCCUACGGGAGGCAGCAGUGGGGAAUAUUGGACAAUGGGCGAAAGCCUGAUCCAGCAAUGCAGCGUGUGUGAAGAAGGCCUGCGGGUUGUAAAGCACUUUCAAUUGGGAGGAAAAGCUAAAGCUUAAUACGCUUUAGUCUUGACGUUACCAUUAGAAGAAGCACCGGCUAACUCC
rnacentral:rRNA from 1 species